rnacentral:rRNA from 1 species
UCAAGACUGACGCUCAUGCACGAAAGCGUGGGAGCAAACAGGAUUAGAUACCCUGGUAGUCCACGCCCUAAACGAUGUCUACUAGUUGUCGGGUCUUAAUUGACUUGGUAACGCAGCUAACGCGUGAAGUAGACCGCCUGGGGGAGUACGGUCGCAAGAUUAAAACUCAAAGGAAUUGACGGGGACCCGCACAAGCGGUGGAUGAUGUGGAUUAAUUCGAUGCAACGCGAAAAACCUUACCUACCCUUGACAUGGCAGGAAUCCCGGAGAGAUUUGGGAGUGCUCGAAAGAGAACCUGCACACAGGUGCUGCAUGGCUGUCGUCAGCUCGUGUCGUGAGAUGUUGGGUUAAGUCCCGCAACGAGCGCAACCCUUGUCAUUAGUUGCUACGAAAGAGCACUCUAAUGAGACUGCCGGUGACAAACCGGAGGAAGGUGGGGAUGACGUCAAGUCCUCAUGGCCCUUAUGGGUAGGGCUUCACACGUCAUACAAUGGUACAUACAGAGGGCCGCCAACCCGCGAGGGGGAGCUAAUCCCAGAAAGUGUAUCGUAGUCCGGAUUGUAGUCUGCAACUCGACUGCAUGAAGUUGGAAUCGCUAGUAAUCGCGGAUCAGCAUGUCGCGGUGAAUACGUUCCCGGGUCUUGUACACACCGCCCGUCACACC